rnacentral:rRNA from 1 species
UGGGGAAUAUUGGACAAUGGGCGCAAGCCUGAUCCAGCCAUGCCGCGUGGGUGAAGAAGGCCCUAGGGUUGUAAACCCCUUUCAGCGGGGAAGAUAAUGACGGUACCCGCAGAAGAAGCCCCGGCUAACUCCGUGCCAGCAGCCGCGGUAAUACGGAGGGGGCUAGCGUUGUUCGGAAUUACUGGGCGUAAAGCGCGCGUAGGCGGACUUUCAAGUCAGGGGUGAAAUCCCGAGGCUCAACCUCGGAACUGCCUUUGAUACUGUAAGUCUUGAGUCCGAGAGAGGUGAGUGGAAUUCCUAGUGUAGAGGUGAAAUUCGUAGAUAUUCGGAGGAACACCAGUGGCGAAGGCGGCUCACUGGCUCGAUACUGACGCUGAGGUGCGAAAGUGUGGGGAGCAAACAGGAUUAGAUACCCCUGUAGUCC